ensembl:snoRNA small nucleolar RNA SNORA14
UUGCAUUCUUAAACCUUCUUGGUAGCUUUACUCUUCUUGGUAGCUUUACUCUAAACGCUUCCAAGAUAUGAGCGAAUGUAACUUAUCUAGGUUGCUCAGUCAAAAUAGUUUCUGAAACUAAAAUUUACAUGUAAGUUAUUA